GGGCUCUUGGCGCAGUUGGUAGCGCGUUCGCUUCGCAUGCGAAAGGUCGUUGGUUCAAAUCCUACAGUGUCCA